GAAGGACUGCAGCUCAGUGACAGAACAUCUGCCUCCCAUGCAGAAGGUCUCAGGUUCAACCCUGAGCAUCUUCA